UCUCCGUAGGUGAACCUGCGGAGGGAUCAUUACAGAGUUCAUGCCCUACCGGGUAGAUCUCCCACCCUAUGUUAUUAUUACUUUGUUGCUUUGGCGGGCCGUUAGGCUCCGGCCCGACUACCGGCCCCGGCUGGUAAGCGCCCGCCAGAGGACCCAAAACCCUGAAUAUUAGUGUCGUCUGAGUACUAUACAAUAGUUAAAACUUUCAACAACGGAUCUCUUGGUCCUG
rnacentral:misc_RNA from 1 species